CUCAUGUUCAUGUGAAUAGCAAAUGCUGUGAAUGGGAAACAUUGAGGGCAGGCCAAGACUGCUUAAAGAUUUGACAGCUCCAGACAAUAUACAGUAACUGAAAGCUCAGUGAAUGAUGGCAGACUUCUGCAAAAUCCAUCAGCAUUCCACCUCAAAUCACUGUCAUUAGAGCAGGAAAUUCCCUUCACCUAAUAACUACAGAGAAAUCUUCAUACAGUCCCUCAACAGAAAUGAUCUUCUGACAUUCCAAGGACAAGAAAGAUCCACCAUAAUCAGAGUAAGCCUCUUUGUUCUGAAAGCUAUCAAGAAAAGAGUACAUUUCCUGAAAGAAGAAUCAGGAAAAUAGGACUCUGGCUGUAAAUAGGUCAGCUGCUGCCCCCUCCUCCUUUUUGCCUUGUGUUUAUUUGUGUUGUAUUGUGAAAUGGUCAUAUGACUGAUCAAAUAAAUAAAUAAAUUAUUAUUAUUAUUAUUAUUUA
rnacentral:lncRNA from 11 species